CCUACGGGUGGCAGCAGUGGGGAAUAUUGCACAAUGGGGGGAACCCUGAUGCAGCAACGCCGCGUGGGUGCAGAAGUACUUCGGUAUGUAAAGCACUGUCAGCAGGGAAGAAAAUGACGGUACCUGACCAAGAAGCCCCGGAUAACUACGUGCCAGCAGCCGCGGUAAUACGUAGGGGGCAAGCGUUAGCCGGAUUUACUGGGUGUAAAGGGAGCGUAAGCGGCAAGGCAAGUCUGGAGUGAAAGCCCGUGGCUCAACCUCGGGACUGCUUUGGAAACUGGGUUGCUGGAGUGCAGGAGGGGUAAGCGGAAUUCCUAGUGUAGCGGUGAAAUGCGUAGAUAUGAGGAGGAACACCGGUGGCGAAGGCGGCUUACUGGACUGUAACUGACGUUGAGGCUCGAAGGCGUGGGGAGCAAACAGGAUUAGAUACCCGUGUAGUC
rnacentral:rRNA from 1 species